UACGUAGGUCCCGAGCGUUGUCCGGAUUUAUUGGGCGUAAAGCGAGCGCAGGUGGUUUAUUAAGUCUGGUGUAAAAGGCAGUGGCUCAACCAUUGUAUGCAUUGGAAACUGGUAGACUUGAGUGCAGGAGAGGAGAGUGGAAUUCCAUGUGUAGCGGUGAAAUGCGUAGAGAUAUGGAGGAACACCAGUGGCGAAAGCGGCUCUCUGGCCUGUAACUGACACUGAGGCUCGAAAGCGUGGGGAGCAAACAGG
rnacentral:rRNA from 1 species